AGGACGAACGCUGGCGGCGUGCUUAACACAUGCAAGUCGAGCGGAAAGGCCCUUCGGGGUACUCGAGCGGCGAACGGGUGAGUAACACGUGAGCAACCUGCCCUUAGCUCUGGGAUAGCUCCGGGAAACCGGAAUUAAUACCGGAUACGACCUAGGCCGACAUCGGCCAUGGUGGAAAGUUUUUCGGCUAGGGAUGGAUUCGCGGCCUAUCAGCUAGUUGGUGGGGUAAAGGCCUACCAAGGCGACGACGGGUAGCCGGCCUGAGAGGGCGACCGGCCACACUGGGACUGAGACACGGCCCAGACUCCUACGGGAGGCAGCAGUGGGGAAUCUUGCGCAAUGGGCGAAAGCCUGACGCAGCGACGCCGCGUGGGGGAUGAAGGCCUUCGGGUUGUAAACCCCUUUCAGCAGGGACGAAGCGAAAGUGACGGUACCUGCAGAGAGCGCCGCUACUACGCGCCAGCAGCCGC
rnacentral:rRNA from 1 species